rnacentral:misc_RNA from 1 species
GAUGAGAACGCAGCGAAAUGCGAUACUUGGUGUGAAUUGCAGAAUCCCGUGAACCAUCGAGUCUUUGAACGCAAGUUGCGCCCGAAGCCAUUAGGCCGAGGGCACGCCUGCCUGGGCGUCACACGUCGUUGCCCCCCCAUCUACUCCUUCGGGAUUGCGGGGGGCGGAUGAUGGCCUCCCGUGCGCCUCGUCGCGCGGUUGGCAUAAAUGCCAAGUCCUCGGCGACGCACGCCACGACAAUCGGUGGUUGCGAAACCUCGGUUGCCCGUCGUGUGCGGUCGUCGCGCAUCGAGGGCUCGAAAAAAUUGCCGGGCUCCGGCUCGGCUUUCAACGCGACCCCAGGUCAGGCGGGGUUACCCGCUGAAUUUAAGCAUAUCAAUAAGCGGAGGA